GUUGUGUUGUGAAGAAGAAGUUGGAGUCAGUGCUGUGAGGAGCUGUCUGUGAGAAAUCACCAAGAAGAAUAUCCAGGAAAGAAGAAGAAAUGCCUGACAAGAAUAUGCGUCUGUAAAAAAUCAGCAGUGUCUAGACAGACGGCUUUCUCAGCAUGCACACUGCAAGUUCAGUCAUCCUUGCCUCACUUGGUUCAUACCUUCCAGUCAGGAGCUCAGUCAACCAACUCUUUUUGCUGUACCUGGAGUGAAAGGCAGCCUGGAACAUGUCAUUUGCAACAGAGGAAAAAGAAAGCAGCCAGCAGAAAUAGAAUCUCUGGGAGCAACUUGGUACUGUACACAUGUGUGAGUGACAUAGCAUGUCCCCAGGCUCAGCCAUCAGAAAACUAUGUGUACAGUCUCAUCCAUCAAUUCCUAUCUGCAAAAUGUCCUUUAAGGCAUGAAUUUCUCAUGUUAUGCUUCCAUUAACUUAAAGACUGCUGCCUGGCUUUGGAUGAAGAGAGACACCUGACACUCUUGCUCUUUCUUCUGAGGAUUUUUCAAUCUGUAAUCAUGGCAUUGGAUGUCACACAAAUUUCAGGAAUUCUACUCUUACUGGCAAAGACUGUCUGUUCUGUGCUUCAGAAAUUGUCCCUCUGUGUCUGACAUCCUAUGUGAUGUGAACUCAGCCCUCACAAGAAAUGUAAGAGAAGUGAAACCAACAGCCAUGCAACGAUCUCACACCACUGGAAGCAUAUGAAUCACAGCAAGUAGUGGCACCUACCACCUCAAUUACUAAAAAAUAUAUGUAGCUUUUCUUUGGGUGACUUUAGUUUCCAGUACUUUGAUGUGAUUUAUGUUUUGAAAUGCAGCUCACAAUUUUCAUGUCAUUGCUAUAUCUGCCAACUAGAGAAGAGAUGAAAAAAUGGAAGAAGAAAUGUAGAUUAAUCCUACUUGGACAGCUCUGAAGCAUAGCUUUUAUCUGAAUGUUUUUUAAAGAUUUUGUAUCUUAUCCCAAUUUGGGAAAAAAUUAAUAUUGUGAAGGCACAAAAAGCUCAUCUCUCAUGCACACAGAGGAAGGCAGAGGGCAGUAGGGGAGGCCCAGUGCCCCAGUCAGAGACAUGAGCCCCUGCCCUGCCUCUCCUCCUCUCAGGGAUAUCUUGGGGAGCACCAUCACCAUAGGUCUUGCAGGGCGAGGUCAUUGUUAGAUGCAGGAGAAGAGAAACCUAGGGUUGUGCAAGACUUAUUAUGGAAGAAAUCAAAGGUGGGGAAAGGGAGGCAUUAAAAUCAAAUGGGGCUGAGGAAGAGUGAGACAACAAAAGGAAAAGGAUAUAAAAGGUGUCAGUUGCCUGUAAACAGCUUGCAGAUCAGCAUGUUGGUCAGGCCAUGUCCUGUGCCUGAGCAGAAUAGUCUGUCCUGUCUUUUCAUUAAAUUUCACUAAUUCAAUAAUUAAAUUGCAUUUCUAGAUCCCUUCUGUAGGCAUGUGUGUUUGAGGUCUGAGUGCAGCAAACUGGAGUCUGCAUGUGCUAGGCAGUGAAUAUCAAGCAGGAAUAGCCAGUGAGUAGAGUAAGAGUUUGAGAUGGAUCCUGGAGAGAUCAGAGGGUUCUAUGAGCUGGUUACUGGAGAUUCAGGAGACUUCAGGCAGCUUCCAGAGAGUUUGUGCAGUCUGGGGAUUGAUUGUGAGCCCAUUUGUGCAGGUGUGCAUGAAGCUAGGCCAUUCCUGCUGGAGAAGUGCCAGUUUUUGAGCCCAGCUGCCUGUGGCAUCCAUGUGUGUUUCCAUGCCUGUGCUGAUGUGUGCCGAGGUCUCUCCCAGCAGCCAAAGUGGGACUGCAGCAUUGAGGGCUUCUGUGUGCAAGUGCCCCCCUGGGAAAACUGGGAUCCAGGGACUGAUGCUGGGCAGUGUCUGAGUCUAGUGCUGCAGGGAUCCACAUUGUACAUGUUUAUUGAUAUUUUCCCAAUAAUGAGCCUCCAUCUUCUCAGCCAGAAAAAAAGGGAUCAAUCCUUUGGCCCUGUGUGUGAUAUGAGAGAGCUGCAUUUUCUUUCAGUGUUGGUCUGAGCUGCCAGCUGUGUGCAUGUGUGUAUUAGCACAGUGUGCACUUGUUCCUACUGGGAACAUGCUCAGCCUUGCUACUGGGUGGACCUGGGGACGAGCCGCAGAAGCUUCACUUCUAUCAGGCUAUUGGAUUUGGCAGCAGCUAAUGUUAAAUAAGUCUGACAUAUGUGGUGGAAAAGGAUGAAUGUGUCAGUAGGAAAAUUUCAGACUUUUCUUUUUCCUGUACCUGUACAUUAGGCACAAGCAAUAAA